rnacentral:rRNA from 1 species
AACGUAGGGGGCAAGCGUUAUCCGGAAUUACUGGGUGUAAAGGGUGAGUAGGCGGCAUGGUAAGCCAGAUGUGAAAGCCCGCAGCUUAACUGCGGGACUGCAUUUGGAACUACUAAGCUAGAGUACAGGAGAGGUAAGCGGAAUUCCUAGUGUAGCGGUGAAAUGCGUAGAUAUUAGGAAGAACACCGGUGGCGAAGGCGGCUUACUGGACUGAAACUGACGCUGAGGCACGAAAGCGUGGGGAGCAAAC